UACGAAGGGGGCUAGCGUUGCUCGGAAUUACUGGGCGUAAAGCGCACGUAGGCGGGUUGUUAAGUCCGGGGUGAAAUCCUGGAGCUCAACUCCAGAACUGCCUUCGAAACUGGCGAUCUUGAGUCCGGGAGAGGUGAGUGGAACUGCGAGUGUAGAGGUGAAAUUCGUAGAUAUCCGCAAGAACACCAGUGGCGAAGGCGGCUCACUGGCCCGGUACUGACGCUGAGGUGCGAAAGCGUGGGGAGCAAACAGG
rnacentral:rRNA from 1 species